GAUGAACGCUGGCGGCGUGCUUAAUACAUGCAAGUCGAACGGACAGACGCGUUGCUUUCUGCUCGGACGGUAGGGGCGGCGGAGUGGGUAAUAAGUGGAUAGCAUCCCUCUCCGACUUGGUGAACAACGGGAAGCAAGAGCGACUAACAGGUGAUAUAUUGGGCCGGAUGGUUGAAUGGUGAAAGACGGUUAUGCUGUCGCUUAUAGAUGGAUCCGCGCCGCAUUAGCUAGUUGGUAGGGUAACGGCUUACCAAGGCAGCGAUGCGUAGCCGACCUGAGAGGGGGAUCGGCGACCCUGGAAGUGAGACAAGGCCCAGACGCCUACGGGAGGCAGCAGUAGGGAAUCUUACGCAACGGGCGGAAGCAUGAUGGAGCAACGCCGCGUGAGGGAUGAAGGUGUUCGGAUCGUUGAACUCUGUUAUCAGGGGAGAAGAAAUGUGUAAUUGACUGUGCAUGGCUUGACGGUACCUGAUCAGGAAGCCACGGCUAACUACGUG
rnacentral:rRNA from 1 species